rnacentral:rRNA from 1 species
UACAGAGGUCCCAAGCGUUGUUCGGAUUCACUGGGCGUAAAGGGUGCGUAGGCGGCCGGGUAAGUCUGAUGUGAAAUCUCCGAGCCUAACUCGGAAACUGCAUCGGAUACUAUUCGGCUAGAGGAUUGGAAGGGAGACUGGAAUUCUCGGUGUAGCAGUGAAAUGCGUAGAUAUCGAGAGGAACACCAGUGGCGAAGGCGAGUCUCUGGACAAUUCCUGACGCUGAGGCACGAAAGCCAGGGGAGCGAACAGG